CAGUGACGCUUUGGUUUGACCUUUUAUUCCCACGUUGGCCGAGACGCAGGUCUAGGUACGUGUGAAACCCCGGUGUCAGGACUGUGCUCCAAAACCAGAGAGGAGACGGGAGAAGAAACUACAGAAGGGGAAUGAAAACGAUCGAGACAAAACCCAGCGUCUCUAAACAGAAAGCAGAAACGUUUAUCAUUUACAGCUAGUCUGCGGUCUUCAAUCAAGGCCGCACCUCUAUCCUUAUUCGCAUCUGAGCAGGGUUCCUCUCACAGGAAAGGUCCCCAGAGGACUGGAUUCAUGAGCAACUGGUUUAGCAUUUAAUGAGCUACAGGAAGGAUCUGUGGAAACAGCAAACAAUACAGUAAGUUCCAAGUUAAAUUUCUCACAGCCCAGGGAGGGUGAAAGCCGCAGAAAAUGCAACAGAGCAUCCCGCAUGAUCCCACAAAGUGAGUGGAACCCGGAGAGGCAUGUGACCUGCAGAGCAUCAUCUCCGCUUCCCAUUGAUGGCAGCUUCUGCUGGAUUAGCCGGGACGCUGUAAAGUGACACCCCCCCCCCCCCCGACGCAUAGGACACCGUCCCCCACCGUGUGUGAGCCAUGCUUGGCCCAUGGCAGAUCUGCCAUGCAUGUAGCCAGCAGUCUGGGGGAGGAGGUGGGGGUGUUUACUGGGAGGCGACAUCCGGGCUACCCAGGGAGCCGCACUGGCGUCAGGCCCGCUGCCAUCUGCGAGAGCCGUCUCUGCCUCGUACCGGCCCCUUGACAGGCCCGUGGAAGCUGCCCCACUAUAAGAGAUUUUCAUCCUGCCCGGACAGACCUGCUUCCAUCCAGAGAUCAGGCUAAUCCUAACCGCUGUCAGCGCUGUAGCGUCUCCAUGACGAUUCACUUCAUGUGAUUAGGGACAGACAUAAGGGGGAAAAAAUGGCUCCUUAUAUGAAGUACGCUACCACUGCAAAAUGAUAAUUAAGAGGAACUGCUUUGUAUGACCAGGAGGUAUAGCGACAUACGGAUUAGGAAGUAGACAGUGACAUACUGACCUAGAAGUACAUAUAAAUAGUGAUCAGGAACUGCACAACUUAGGCCCCAGUUCAGCCAACCUGGACCAGAGGCAUGAGGCAUAUCAGCAGCGUCAAAUUCUUUGCACGUGCAACAUUGUUCAUUCCCGCUGAUUUCAGGGUUAACAUUCUGGUUUCAUGCAAGCAGAUGACCUGAUCAAAAUGCAGGGUAAAUCACAUGUUAGCAGUCCACAGUGGCCUGCGCCUUUACACUGUGGUACCAGCUCCAUCACAGGGCUGACCACGGGCACGCCGGAGGCAGAGAAGAGGACCACAGCACAACUGGAAAACUCCUGGAGCAGCUUUAGCCACCAGCUCAUUCAACCAUGACGUGCUAAGAAUCACUACUGGGGAUCAUUUUUGCCUUCAGCCAUCAGACUCUAUACUGCCUCCUCCUGGUAUAGUCCCAGCCAUAACACCCAGCAAGACAGCCUUUCUUUUUCAAAACAGAGAGCACCAGCCUUUUACUAUGCAAAUAAUACAUAUACGUAAGCGUAAAUCAUAUAUAUGUUACAUUUCUCCAUGUAUUUAUUAAUCCUGUGCAAUACUGUUACAUUGUAUACAUUGAUAUACUAAAUACAUUGUAUUUGUGUAUUUGCACAUUGUAUUUGCAUAUUUGCACAUUAUAUUUGCAUAUUUGCACAUUGUAUUUGGUAUUUGCACAUUGUAUUUGCGUAUUUGCACAUUAUACUUGCGUAUGUGCACAUUGUAUUUGCAUAUUUGCACAUUGUAUUUGCGAAUUUUCACAUUGUAUUUGCGUAUUUGCACAUUGUAUUUCCGUAUUUGCACAUUGUAUUUCCGUAUUUGCGCAGUCAAGUUCUUGAAUUAUAUGACUGUACAUGUGCACUUUUUGUCUCUUUGCUGCUGUAUGCAAAUGAAUUUCUCCUUGGGAUCAAUAAAGUACAUCUUACCAUAUCUACAAAAAA